GAAAAAUAAUAUAAAUUAAAAUUAGAUAUUAAAGGAUAAUUUUGUUCCUUAGUAAACAACUUAAUAGCAUCCCUAAAAGGCUGAAUUAACCCAAUUAAACCCACCUUAUUGGGACCUUUACGAAUCUGAAUAUAUCCUAAAACUUUACGCUCUAACAAAGUUAAAAAUGCUACCCCAACUAAAACACAAAUUAUUAAUAACAGUCUUGAUAAAAAU
rnacentral:misc_RNA from 1 species